UAAAUAUUCGAAUUUGAAUGGGAAUGAUACGAGAAGAUUAGCAUGGCCCCUGGGCAAGGAUGACAUGCAAAUUCAUGAAGAGUUCCAUAUUUUA
ensembl:snRNA RNU6-1167P RNA, U6 small nuclear 1167, pseudogene